rnacentral:rRNA from 1 species
CUCAGAAACUUAAAGGAAGUUGACGGGGCCCGCGACAAGCGGUGGAGUAUGUGGUUAAUUCGAUGCAACGCGAAGAACCUUACCUGGUCUUGACAUCCCGGAGACCCUUAGGAACUAGGGGUGCUUCCAUCUGGAAGAAUCUGGAGACAGGUGCUGCAUGGCUGUCGUCAGCUCGUGUCGUGAGAUGUUGGGUUAAGUCCCGCAACGAGCGCAACCCUUGCCUUUAGUUGCCAGCAGUUCGGCUGGGCACUCUAAAGGGACUGCCGGUGUUAAACCGGAGGAAGGUGGGGAUGACGUCAAGUCCUCAUGGCCUUUAUGACCAGGGCUACACACGUACUACAAUGGCCGAUACAAAGGGCAGCGACACUGCGAGGUGAAGCCAAUCCCGUAAAAUCGGUCUCAGUCCGGAUUGGAGUCUGCAACUCGGCUCCAUGAAGUUGGAAUCGCUAGUAAUCGUGGAUCAGCAUGCCACGGUGAAUACGUUCCCGGGCCUU